rnacentral:piRNA from 1 species
UCCCAUACACACGGUCAACCCACAACACACC